GGCGAACGCUGGCGGCGUGCCUAAUACAUGCAAGUUGAGCGCUGAAGGUUGGUACUUGUACCGACUGGAUGAGCAGCGAACGGGUGAGUAACGCGUGGGGAAUCUGCCUUUGAGCGGGGGACAACAUUUGGAAACGAAUGCUAAUACAGCAUAAAAACUUUAAACACAAGUUUUAAGUUUGAAAGAUGCAAUUGCAUCACCCAAAGAUGAUCCCGCGUUGUAUUAGCUAGUUGGUGAGGUAAAGGCUCACCAAGGCGAUGAUACAUAGCCGACCUGAGAGGGUUGUCGGCCACAAUGGGAAGUGGACACGGCCCAAACUCCUACGGGAGGCAGCAGUAGGGAAACUUCGGCAAUGGACGAAAGUCUGACCGAGGAACGCCGCGGGAGUGAAGAAGGGUUUCGGAUCGUAAAACUCUGUUGGUAGAGAAGAACGUUGGUUAGAGUGGAAAGCUCAUCAAGUGACGGUAACUACCCAGAAAGGGACGGCUAACUACGUG
rnacentral:rRNA from 1 species